rnacentral:rRNA from 1 species
GAUGAACGCUGGCGGCGUGCCUAAUACAUGCAAGUCGAGCGAACGGACGAGAAGCUUGCUUCUCUGAUGUUAGCGGCGGACGGGUGAGUAACACGUGGAUAACCUACCUAUAAGACUGGGAUAACUUCGGGAAACCGGAGCUAAUACCGGAUAAUAUUUUGAACCGCAUGGUUCAAAAGUGAAAGACGGUCUUGCUGUCACUUAUAGAUGGAUCCGCGCUGCAUUAGCUAGUUGGUAAGGUAACGGCUUACCAAGGCAACGAUGAAUAGCCGACCUGAGAGGGUGAUCGGCCACACUGGAACUGAGACACGGUCCAGACUCCUACAGGAGGCAGCAGUAGGGAAUCUUCCGCAAUGGGCGAAAGCCUGACGGAGCAACGCCGCGUGAGUGAUGAAGGUCUUCGGAUCGUAAAACUCUGUUAUUAGGGAAGAACAUAUGUGUAAGUAACUGUGCACAUCUUGACGGUACCUAAUCAGAAAGCCACGGCUAACUACGUG